ACCCUUGGGACCCUGGAUCUCCUCCUGCCAGGAAGGCCUCGGGGACUUCGUCAUUCAUGGAAGUGACAGAGGAGCCGGCCUGGGUGGAAGACAAAGAGAGGCUGACGGGAAGCGGGCGGUUUCAGCUGCACCAGCCCUUUUUUGGAUUCUGCUCUCCACAGCUAGACUUCUCUCACCCCAUCAACUGCACCCUCUCUCAAAUGAAUGAAUGAAAAAACACUAAGUACUUAAUACAUGCCGGGCAUUAGAUAGAAACACAGACAAGUAUCACAA